CUACGGGCGGCAGCAGUGAGGAAUAUUGCACAAUGGGGGGAACCCUGAUGCAGUAACGCCGCGUGGAGGAUGACGCAUUUCGGUGUGUAAACUCCUUUUAUAUGUCAAGAAAAUGACGGUAGCAUAUGAAUAAGCACCGGCUAACUCCGUGCCAGCAGCCGCGGUAAUACGGAGGGUGCAAGCGUUACUCGGAAUCACUGGGCGUAAAGGACGCGUAGGCGGGUUGGAAAGUCAGGUGUGAAAUCCUACAGCUUAACUGUAGAGCUGCACUUGAAACUUCUAAUCUAGAGUAUGGGAGGGGGAGAUGGAAUUAGUGGUGUAGGGGUAAAAUCCGUAGAUAUCACUAGGAAUACCUAAAGCGAAGGCGAUCUCCUGGAACAUUACUGACGCUAAGGCGUGAAAGCGUGGGGAGCAAACAGGAUUAGAUACCCUCGUAGUC
rnacentral:rRNA from 1 species